AAAUUCAUCACAAAAUAUUAAAAGUCAUCACAAAUAACUCAUUUACAUAAUCAAUUCCAAGCCAAAAUAAACAUAGUAAACUAACUAGUUUAUUAACAAAACUAACUAAACUUCAAAAAAUUCAAACUUUAACUAACAAUUAAAUACAAUAUUUAAAAUAAUAAUAUUACAAAAAUUAAAUAAGAAACAUACCCGAAAAUACGAAUUCCACAAACUGAAUACGCACUUCCAUGCCAAAAUUUAACUAAGAAGAUCUUUAUAAAAAGUCCUCCCACAACAAAGCCUUUCUCAAAAAUUGGAGACCUUAUUGUUGGUGAAUGAAACAAAUGCCAAGCCCUUCUAUUUAUAGUUUUAGAAAAUGGUGAAGUUCUCAAUUUAGUCGAUGUGGGACUUGGUUUAAACUAAUCUUUCAAUAGCUCACUUUGCGAUUUUCUCACGCCUUGCUCAUUUAUCAGAAAAUUCCCAACUUUGGAUAAGUUAUACAUGGUAUACCAGAGUAUUUUUUAAAAUAUAACCCAGUAAUGUCCACUCGCAACCGUGUUUAUCUAUUUCCCAGAUUUACCCUCUUUCGCUAAAACAGUCAUAACUCUUUCAUUUUAAAACAUUUUUAGACGAUUCUUGAGCCCACGCGAAGCUAUCUUCCGAGACUACAACUCUUCCCUACUGACUUGUUUCCAAAUUCCGAACACAUCAGCCCAGAAAUUUCGUUCAAGUGGACUGCACCGCACUUGUUGGACAGUUUUGACACUACUACUUUGAAAUGUCAUAACUCUCUCCUUCGAUAUCGGAUUUAGUCCGUUUCAGAAUCUAUGGAAAACUUUUUCAGUGUACUACAACAUAUCAAAAGCCCAGACCUUUUAAAGCACAAAAAGUGGACGAGAAUACCCCCAUUACAGACUGCCCAAAAACAGUUUAUCAUGAUCGGUCAAUCAUGUUUGACCAUCUAUAACUUCUAAUCUAUACAUGAUAUGGACUUGAUUCUUUUUGCAGAUUAAAGACCACAUAACAAGCUACACAUAACAACUUAAAAACAACAAAAAUCAUGAUCGAUCAAAGAUCUAUAAGCUCUGACAUUUGACGAAAAAUCACAGAAAUAAAAUUUUUCAGAUUUCUUAAAUCUUCAAAUUCGUGUACUUUGAUGUUAUGGGUCUUUGAUUUAUCAAAUCAUAUCAUCAAUUAACAUCCUAUUACACAACUUUAAACAAUCAAUUACAUCAAAUAACAUCGAAUCAAAGGAUUUCUAGGUUUAGUGUUCUUAUACCUUUUUUGUCAAAAAUUCUUGAUUCUUGCUUCUGAUUUGUUAUGGGUGAUGGUUGGGCUUUGUUUAAGAGUGUAUGGGCAAGAUAAUUUUGUAGCUAAGAGAUUGAGAGAGUAUAGCUAGAAGCUUUGGAAAAUUUUAGUGUGCAAAAUAAUGUUAACCCUCUUUAAUCUAUUUAUAGGGCAAUUAAAUGCCUUGGAUGCUAGAAUUGAAUGAAUCAAUUGAUUGCUAGCUGAUAAAAUGGUAGGGUAAGCAUGUUGGGCAUUAUUGUUGCAAGAUUCCAUCAACAAUGUAAGUAAUAAUACACUAAUAAGCCAAAAAGGGUAUUUUGGUCAUUUAACAUAUAAUUUCAAGGGCAAUCUUGUACAAGGCAAUUAAAUGUAAUAUUUAAUCACUAGAUUUAAUUCUUACAAUUUACCAAUUAACUUCUAUCCUUUGAUAAAUUAAAACACUUAUACAAUAACAUCGAAAUUAAACCCGGUAAUUAAAAUUAGGGUUUUCUAUAGAAAAUUUAGGGUUCUAUAAUUAGGGUUUCUUAACGUCAUCAAUUAGGGUUUCUAAUUGACCAUUAGGGUUCUUUAAUUAUCUGUGUAUGUUACUAACACAGUCGUUACCGUUUCUAACUUCAACCGGUUAGGGUUAUAAUAAUUAGGGUUGGUCCUAAUUAUCAACGUACAACAGUAAUUAGGGUUUCUUCUAAUUACCGAUAUUCAUAUACACAGUAACUUCAUAUACAUAGUCACUACUCAGUCAUAUCUCAUAACUGAGUUUAAUAAUUAGGGUUUCACAGCACGGUAAUAUGUUAUGACCUAAUUGACCGUCAUUGCUCAAUAUUAUCUGUCCGCACAUACCCAGUACAUAAUUAUGGUACUGUAAAAUAAUAUAAUAUUAUUAUUCUCAUCUCUUGAUCACAAUCCCAAUCCAGGGUUUGGAUCUCAUGUCUGACUUAUUCUUCGUACACAACAUCAAUAAUCAAGUUAAAAUAAUUAACUUAAAUAUUCUGAACAAUUCAUAUAAUAAAAUAUUUAUUAUAUAAAUCAAAUUAUCACUUCAUAAAUUAUUUCCAAUCAUGUUUUCAUGAAAAAUAAUUAAUAAAAAUAUUUCGGCUUACAGAAAUUUAUUACCAUAUAAUUUGUGGUAAUUAAUAAUUCCAAAAUUAUUUUUAAUUUUUCAAGUAAUAAAUAUAUUCGCAUUUAUCGUUCACUUUACUCGACACUUAGUCUCGUCAUUAAAUAAAAAAAAAAAAUUAUACGCAAAAUUUCUUAUUUAUUUUAUAUAGAAAAUCUCGGGUUCUUACAAGGGCACCUCGGGCAGCCACAAGUGCAUUUGCGGUUGCCACAGGUGCAUUUGCGGCUGCCGCAGGUACACCCGCGGCCACCAGCUCUAUAAAUAUAGAGCUUGGGGUGGCCAUUUAAAAGAGAAAAAGAGGCGAGGAAGCCCUGUCCAAUUUACUCUGUACACACCCCAUAUUGAGUGCUUUCUCAUUUUAAACACAUAUUAGCUCACAUAUAACUAUAUUUUACCGGCGGGAGCUGAGUGUUUAUCCAAAUAGAGUCAUAGAAGCCUGCUUUGGCAGCCCACUGUAAGCCUUCUCAUACUCUAUAAAGCCUUUAUCUUCAUCUUUGCACACAUUAUUCUUCACAUUGAGAGUCGUGUUGUGUGUGUAUGCCCGGACUUCGGUCCGUGGUUUUCAUUUCUGUCUGUAUAUAUAUACUUAUAUAUGUAUAUAUUUAUAUAUAUGGACUAACAUUAUCGAGUUAUGCCUCGAUUAAGC
rnacentral:lncRNA from 1 species